rnacentral:rRNA from 1 species
UACGUAGGGUGCAAGCGUUGUUCGGAAUCAUUGGGCGUAAAGCGUGUGCAGGCGGUUAGUUAAGUCAGGUGUGAAAUCCCUGGGCUCAACCGAGGAAGUGCAUUUGAAACUAACUAGCUAGAAGACAGUAGAGGAAGGUGGAAUUCCAAGUGUAGAGGUGAAAUUCGUAGAUAUUUGGAGGAAUACCGGCGGCGAAGGCGGCCUUCUGGACUGUUCUUGACGCUGAGACACGAAAGCGUGGGUAGCAAAC